rnacentral:rRNA from 1 species
CAGUGGGGAGACGAUGGUUAUGAUGUGUAUGGAGAUGGACAACAUCGUGGUUCCUCAUCCACGGGUGGAGGACGUGGUUAUGCCUGGCAGAGUGACGGGUCUGCUGAGAGACCGUUUCUCGGGCCUCCAGGAGGUUUUGUUGAGGGUGCUUCCGGUCCGGAUCACCGCCAGAGAGGGGGUCACCGUGGACAUCGCGGUGGUCGGGGCGGUGGACGCGGGAGGUAUCAUCGCAGACCGCCGCCGCCUUCGGCAGUUGUUGACCAAGCGGAGUCAGUACGGAAGACCGAUAACGCUACCGCGGAGCUCCCUCCCCAGGCAAUGGAGGUGGUAGCGGCUUUAGCCAAUGUUGAGGCUCCGGCGACUGGGAGUGUGACUGAGGCUACAGACAGGUCUGAGGCUGAAAGGGCGUCCAAGUGGGCGCGU